rnacentral:rRNA from 1 species
CCUACGAGAGUCUGCAGUGGGGAAUAUUGCACAAUGGGGGAAACCCUUAUGCAGCAACGCCGCGUUAGUGAAGAAGUAUUUCGGUAUGUAAAGCUCUCUCAGCAGGGAAGAAAAUUACAGUACCUGACUAAGAAGCCCCGGCGAACUACGUGCCAGCAGCAGCGGUAAUACGGAGGGGGCAAGCGUUAUCCGGAUUUACUGGUGGUAAAGGGAGCGUAGACGGCUGCGCAAGUCAGAAGUGAAAGCCCGGGGAUCAACCGCGGGACUGAUUUUGAAACUGUGUAGCUAGAGUGCAGGAGAGGGAAGUGGAAUUCCUAGGGGAGCGGGGAAAGGCGUAGAUAUUAGGAGGAAAACCGGUGGCGAAGGCGGCUUACUGGACUGUAACUGACGUUGAGGCUCGAAAGCGUGGGGAGCAAACAGGAUUAGAUACCCGGGUAGUC